rnacentral:rRNA from 1 species
UACGGAGGAGGCAAGCGUUAUCCGGAAUUAUUGGGCGUAAAGCGUCCGCAGGUGGUUAAUCAAGUCUGCUGUCAAAGCGCGAGGCUCAACUUCGUAAAGGCAGUGGAAACUGAUUGACUUGAGUUUGGUAGGGGUAGAGGGAAUUCCCAGUGUAGCGGUGAAAUGCGUAGAUAUUGGGAAGAACACCGGUGGCGAAGGCGGGUCUCUGGGCCGAUACUGACGCUGAGGAGCGAAAGCGUGGGGAGCGAACAGG